UACGGGGGGGACAAGCGUUGUUCGGAAUUACUGGGCGUAAAGGGUUCGUAGGUGGCCAACUAAGUCAGACGUGAAAUCCCUCAGCUUAACUGGGGAACUGCGUCUGAGACUGGAUGGCUUGAGUGCAGGAGAGGAACGCGGAAUUCCAGGUGUAGCGGUGAAAUGCGUAGAUAUCUGGAGGAACACCGGUGGCGAAGGCGGCGUUCUGGACUGCAACUGACACUGAGGAACGAAAGCCAGGGGAGCAAACGGG
rnacentral:rRNA from 1 species